rnacentral:rRNA from 1 species
CCUACGGGUGGCAGCAGUGGUGAAUAUUGGGCAAUGGAGGAAACUCUGACCCAGCAACGCCGCGUGAAUGAUGAAGGUCUUCGGAUUGUAAAGUUCUUUUCUAAGGGAAGAAGAAAGUGACGGUACCUUAGGAAUAAGCCUCGGCUAACUACGUGCCAGCAGCCGCGGUAAUACGUAGGAGGCGAGCGUUAUCCGGAAUGACUGGGCGUAAAGGGUGAGUAGGUGGUUUGGCAAGGUAGAAGGGAAAAACCCAGGGCUUAACUCGGGUGCUGCCUCUAAAACGGUUAGACUUGAGUGCAGUAGAGGUUAGUGGAAUUCCUAGUGUAGCGGUGGAAUGCGUAGAUAUUAGGAGGAACACCAGAGGCGAAGGCGGCUAACUGGACUGCAACUGACGCUGAGGCACGAAAGUGUGGGGAGCAAACAGGAUUAGAUACCCGAGUAGUC